rnacentral:rRNA from 1 species
UACGGAGGGGGCUAGCGUUGUUCGGAAUUACUGGGCGUAAAGCGCACGUAGGCGGCUUUGUAAGUUAGAGGUGAAAGCCCAGGGCUUAACUCUGGAAUUGCCUUUAAGACUGCAUCGCUAGAAUCGUGGAGAGGUGAGUUGAAUUCCGAGUGUAGAGGUGAAAUUCGUAGAUAUUCGGAAGAACACCAGUGGCGAAGGCGACUCACUGGACACGUAUUGACGCUGAGGUGCGAAAGCGUGGGGAGCAAACAGG